rnacentral:rRNA from 1 species
UGGGGAAUAUUGCACAAUGGGCGCAAGCCUGAUGCAGCCAUGCCGCGUGUAUGAAGAAGGCCUUCGGGUUGUAAAGUACUUUCAGCGAGGAGGAAGGCGUUGUGGUUAAUAACCGCAACGAUUGACGUUACUCGCAGAAGAAGCACCGGCUAACUCCGUGCCAGCAGCCGCGGUAAUACGGAGGGUGCAAGCGUUAAUCGGAAUUACUGGGCGUAAAGCGCACGCAGGCGGUCUGUCAAGUCGGAUGUGAAAUCCCCGGGCUCAACCUGGGAACUGCAUCCGAAACUGGCAGGCUAGAGUCUUGUAGAGGGGGGUAGAAUUCCAGGUGUAGCGGUGAAAUGCGUAGAGAUCUGGAGGAAUACCGGUGGCGAAGGCGGCCCCCUGGACAAAGACUGACGCUCAGGUGCGAAAGCGUGGGGAACAAACA